rnacentral:rRNA from 1 species
CGUAGGUAACCUGCCUGGUAGCGGGGGAUAACUAUUGGAAACGAUAGCUAAUACCGCAUAAAAUUGAUUAUUGCAUGAUAAUUAAUUGAAAGAUGCAAUUGCAUCACUACCAGAUGGACCUGCGUUGUAUUAGCUAGUUGGUGAGGUAACGGCUCACCAAGGCGACGAUACAUAGCCGACCUGAGAGGGUGAUCGGCCACACUGGGACUGAGACACGGCCCAG